UUUGUGAAGCCGCUGAAGGUUGAUGAUGGGCGCCGGCUGGAACUCCCUCAAAAGACACUGUCGUCGAGUCCUGCGUGAAGACAGGUGCUGCCAAUCAUUAAUACGGCUGGGGUUGAAAACCAGGC